AGUAGGAAGAAUUAGCUGACAGAUAGUUGAAAUUUUGACUCUAGACUUGGAACUGACAAGUUGAGUCUUGUCUUUGUACUCAGUGUUCUACUAAAAUCAUUGAUUAGAGUAGUAUAAGUGCUUUAUUAGAGAUAUCACCAGGAAUGUUUUAAGAAUAGAGAAAGGGGGGUCAUGAAAUACUUCUGAGUUGUCAUGAGUUGAGUCUUGAAAAAUAAGCAGGAGUUAGCCAGGC
rnacentral:lncRNA from 1 species